ACUCUCAUCCACUCGAAAGUUUUACUGUUUACUUCCACAUCAGCGGCUUUACAGUCCGCGCUGGCCGAACUUCCCACGGCGACGUUAAUCUCGGGGCCAUUAUGAGAAUAUAUUUGAAUUUGCUCUGCAAGCGACCCAAAAGCGGAUUGUAGCGGUUCGUUGUUAUUUGAUGCGCAGUAUCCGAGUCCUGGGGAGCCCUGCCUCUGCGCCCUGCGCCGCCAGGGGACACGGGACGAGUGUGGGCAGGCCGGUGUCGAGAAGCCCUCGAGAGUCUCACACGGUGGUGGAGGAGGAGGGCUGUCCAAAGAGGUGCACAGAGUCAAACUGUUGGAGAGAGUUAAAUACCGGGGUUGCGGAGUAUUAAAUCCUGAGGCAACUUCAGCCUCCAGUUUCCCCUCCUCAUCACGACUGUGGAGUUCAGGAUGAGUCCCGCAGUCUAGGUCCCCGUUUAUGACCUCUUUUGCUCGGCAGCAGCCCGUGAACAGAGGGCUACUCUCCCCUUCGGCCGUUAACUCUUGAUAGGAAGUCAUUAUCACCUCUCCCCUGCAUAAUCAUUGGACGGGGUUUCACUUCAUGCCCGGCCUCUCACGCAUCCAGUAACGCAUGGUCAGGCUGCUGGCCGACCGCAGGGACAUUCCUCAGAGGAGAAACAGCAGUCCCUGAUUGAUGGAGAUGACGUGCCCUCCUGGUCUUGGCCAAUAGCUGGACAUCUCUGUCAUCAGAAAGGACAACACACUGAUUAAGCCGCGCGUUGUGAAACUGACUUCAGGUCAAUAUUUUAAUGGCAGUCGAGGCCCUGGGAUCAGCGCGGCCGUGCUCGGAUUACCUCCACGGCUUGAACUGAACCCUCAUCCUGCCGCUGCUGACAUGAUGCUGUGGCCGCUGUUGACACCAGACCCUUGUCUAGCCCUCCAACACUGUCAGGCCUCAUUAUAUGUCAGCUCUUGACCGUCACAAGACUGGGAAUUAACCAGCGCUGACAGACGCCUGUCACCACCAGCCAGAGAGGUCACUGCCGUUAAUGCAGUUUCAGGAAGAUGAUAACCAUCUAUGCCAAGUUUAUGGCUCAUCAAUGUGGCAUCAUGAUAGAGCUGUAAUAUGGCAUAGAGGAAUAAAGCAAGAGAGAAAGGGUCAGAGCAGGGCUGAGGCACAAGCAGACACAGAGGGGCACAUUGACCGGUUGAAAGAUGGCUAUCUCUAUGAUUGAUAUAGCAUGUCUGUGUUUUUCAAAUAUUGACAUUUUUGAAAAAUGGUGAUAUCAGAAGUAAGGUUUAGCUUAGUGUAUACCGAGCCCACACGCAAUCCAGGGAAUACCACUUGAAAACAAGAAAAUUCAUCCACUCACGGUGUGAAAUUCUAAUAAUUGUCCUUACUUUGUCGUUGAAUGGUAUGAAAUCUGUCACAGUACAUGAACCAUAAUCAUAAAUCCAAUGCAACUACUGUGCAAAUGGCUAGGGACAUUACAGAUAACUGAAUUCUGCACAGGCUCAACAGUGCGACAAUGAAGCAAUACCUUGCUAAUACCAGGACUUUUCAACAAUAGCCUGUAGUAUGUGCCGCAGCGCUUCACAGCUUCAGUGAGCCAAGAGCCUUCGAGUCGGCAGAAUCCCAAACAUCAUGACAACAAGCCAUCAGUCAUCUUCCCCCCAAGCUGCUGUGCACACUUGUGUGUUUCCGGAGUUCUUACUGUGGGAAAUGAGCAGGGUUAAACAUGAAACAGGAGGAAAUGUUCAUCAUUGCAGCACUCUCUGUAAUAUUCUCCCUCAUACAGCAUUGUUUUCGCUGCAGGGAAAGAGAAGGAGUGGUUUUUAAUUUUUUAAACAUCCCCUGCUUGCUCACAAUGCAAAUCAGUAGUCUACUGUGCAUGCUAAUCAUGGUUAAUAGCAAAAUGCUGAUAGAAAAAUGACAAUGUAUUAAUAAAGCACCAAUCUUCUGUUGAGGUUCAAGGAAGGACUGUUCCUGCAGACAGGAAAUAUUUCAACCUUGGAAAAGUUUGAAAGUUAAAAUCAUCUUGUUUCACAAUGUCUGGCAGUGUCAUGAAACUUGUGUCAGCUUCUUCAAUGAAGCCACAAGACUCCAUGAAUUUUAUGGCUGCAUGUUCCAUCAAAUGGAAAUAUUCUAGAUGUCUUAUACAUAAUUUUAUACACAUUUCCCCAAAGUUCAGGUUUCAGGCAAGACAUGUUUUGCAUUUUUGGAAAACUUUGGUGUCGCCAGUAGAGUAAAGUAAUCUGGUUUAGAACAACUUGUGACUGCACAUCAUGAGUUUGUAAUGAUUGGACCACUGUCACUACAGAGAUACUGGUAGAAAAAUGACACUGCUGUAAUGUUACUGUUUCAGAAGUGUUUAGUUUUAACAUUUGAGGUUCUACAUGGAUUAUUCAUGCAGUCAAUAAAAUAAAAAUGUCAGUCUUGUGUCAAAUGUCCCAGUUUUAACACUUGUGUAGUGGUGACAAUAGCAUUACUUCCUCAUGUUUUGGUAUCCCACAACCCAACUGCUGUAUGUGUAAAAAAAGACAACAAUAACAUCAACACAACACAUUUAGUUUUCUUUAAAAACCUUUUGGAUUUUCUUCUAAAAAGUAGGAAACAUGUGAUGAAUAUGAUAAACGAUGGAAAUGACCAUGACACAUUUCAUGUUUUAUAUGUGAUGCUAUGCAUGAGCAAAUAUAUGUUCAUUUUGUUUGCCAAAAAGUCAUUUGCAGGCAAGGAAAUAUAAAGCAUGUUAUCUUACAUUGUGAUAAUGUUUAGGGUCAAUUAGACCCUAGAGACUUAUUUGGGAUUUGGAAGGUGUGAAGUACUGUCAACACCAAUCACAGAUGUGGAGUAAAUGUGAAUUAUCAUAUUAUCAUAUUUUUCCGUAUUUAACAGCUGGGUCUUAUGUCUGGAUAUACAUAAGUAUUCUGAUACAUAUCCCAAAAAAAUUUAUUUCUGGUAUUUUUCUGUUAAUAUCUUUAUGUCCUUUUGUUGUUUGUGAGAUUAUUUUCAGCCACCUUUUUAAUAGUUUUGAUUACAACCGGUGCAUUGAUUAGAUUCUGUGUAAUAAAGCCAUAGUGUGUUAAA